rnacentral:rRNA from 1 species
AUUGAACGCUGGCGGCAUGCUUUACACAUGCAAGUCGAACGGCAGCGCGGGCUUCGGCCUGGAGGCGAGUGGCGAACGGGCGAGUAAUACAUCGGAACGUGCCCAGUAUUUGGGGAUAGCUCGGCGAAAGCCGGAUUAAUCCCGCAUACGACCUGAUGGUGAAACCGGGGGAUCUUCGGACCUCGCGCGAUUUGCUCGGCCGAUGGCAGAUUAGCUAGUUGGUGGGGUAAAGGCCUACCAAGGCGACGAUCUGUAGCUGGUCUGAGAGGACGACCAGCCACACUGGGACUGAGACACGGCCCAGACUCCUACGGGAGGCAGCAGUGGGGAAUUUUGGACAAUGGGCGAAAGCCUGAUCCAGCAAUGCCGCGUGUGUGAUGAAGGCCUUCGGGUUGUAAAGCACUUUUGGCGGGAACGAAAAGGACUGUGCCAAUACCACGGUUCGAUGACGGUACCCGCAGAAUAAGCACCGGCUAACUACGUG